AAUCAACGGCAUCACGAGGAUCCUACUGUCUCCCCCCUCUAAUCAGUGAAAUUGAUCUCCCCGUGAAGAAGCGGGGAUAUAAAUAUAAGACGAGAAGACCCCAUGGAGCUUUAAACCCAACAACACCUAUCUAUUUUAUUCCCCCAUAUUUAUACGAUUAUGUUUGUUUGGUUUUAGGUUGGGGUGACCGCGGAGUAUAAAACAACCUCCACGAAGAAAAGACUAAUAAUCUUUAUCAGAGAAAGACAUUUCUAAGAAAUAAUAUAUUAACUUUAAAUGAUCCGAUAUUCGAUUAACGAAUCAAGUUACCCUGGGGAUAACAGCGCAAUCCACCUUAAGAGCCCUUAUCGACAGGUGGGUUUACGACCUCGAUGUUGGAUCAGGGUAUCACAGUGGUGCAGCAGCUACUAAUGGUUCGUUUGUUCAACGAUUAAAACCCU
rnacentral:rRNA from 1 species